AGAAAAGAUGACCGCCAAACUCCACCAAUUAUAUCCAAUUAUUCACUUUUUUGGAUCACAAUUUAUCUCAAUGUCACAAACUUUUAAAAUACAUUUAAAACUUUCCCGAUUGC